CGGUUGAUGAAGUAAGAGCAACAGCAGGAGGAGCAAAAGGAGCAGCAGCAGCAGCCGCUGUUACUGCUCCUGCUCCUUCUGCUCCUCAUAUUUUCUUUUUCUC